rnacentral:misc_RNA from 1 species
CUUCCGUAGGUGAACCUGCGGAAGGAUCGUUACCGGAGUGAGGGCCCUCUGGGUCCAACCUCCCACCCGUGUCUAUUGUACCUUGUUGCUUCGGCGGGCCCGCCGUUUCGACGGCCGCCGGGGAGGCCUCGCGCCCCCGGGCCCGCGCCCGCCGAAGACCCCAACAUGAACGCUGUUCUGAAAGUAUGCAGUCUGAGUUGAUUAUCAUAAUCAGUUAAAACUUUCAACAACGGAUCUCUUGGUUCCGGCAUCGAUGAAGAACGCAGCGAAAUGCGAUAAGUAAUGUGAAUUGCAGAAUUCAGUGAAUCAUCGAGUCUUUGAACGCACAUUGCGCCCCCUGGUAUUCCGGGGGGCAUGCCUGUCCGAGCGUCAUUGCUGCCCUCAAGCACGGCUUGUGUGUUGGGCCGCCGUCCCCGGUUCUCCCCCGGGGACGGGCCCGAAAGGCAGCGGCGGCACCGCGUCCGGUCCUCGAGCGUAUGGGGCUUCGUCACCCGCUCUGUAGGCCCGGCCGGCGCCAGCCGACACCCAACUUUAUUUCUAAGGUUGACCUCGGAUCAGGUAGGGUUGCCACGCUUGAACUUAAGCAUAUCAAUAAGCGGAGGAAAUUACCCCUCCCCCCCCCCCCCCCCCCCUCUUUUUUUAACUUAUGUACUCUACUUCCUCUUGAGUAUUUUUUUACAA